rnacentral:rRNA from 1 species
UACGUAGGGUGCGAGCGUUGUCCGGAAUUAUUGGGCGUAAAGAGCUCGUAGGCGGUGUGUCACGUCGGCCGUGAAAACCUGCAGCUUAACUGUGGGCGUGCGGUCGAUACGGGCAUCACUGGAGUUCGGCAGGGGAGACUGGAAUUCCUGGUGUAGCGGUGAAAUGCGCAGAUAUCAGGAGGAACACCAAUGGCGAAGGCAGCUCGCUGGGACGGUACUGACGCUGAGGCGCGAAAGCGUGGGGAGCGAACAGG